CCCUGCCCGAGAGACCCCGCCAAGGGCCACAGCCCCUCCUGCUCGCCCUCCUGACCCAGGUACACAUGACACGAGCCGCGUGGGUGAAGAUUAACCUUUAUUACCAGACUGCAUCGAUCUUGUGGACAAAAAGGGCACCCUGAUGAAUCUGACCAAAGUGGAAGAUCCUGCAUCUGAAUUCACCAGUAAAUACCUACAGGAAAGGCAGCACUACAUCCUCAUAAGAGCUGUCCAAAAGUUCCUUGUCGAGACAGCACAGCUCAGCCUCUGGGCCAAGAAGGGUCUGCUCUGGGGGGAGGCUUGGAGAGGGGCUCUGUUCAGCAGUCACUUGGACACAGCAAGAAGCUCCAAGGAGGCAGAAGCUAGCUCAGAUGAAGCACUAGAGCUGAGCCUUUGUUUAUCCAAGGGCUGCUCCAGGGAAGAAGGAACCUUUCCUGGGCAGAACCACCUGCCCCAGUUACAAGCCUUCAGUUUGCAGCCAGGAGAGAGACCAAUCCAUUUCUCCCAUUCUGCUGGCAGAAGAAAACUCUGAAGCCACCUGCUACGAAUCCUCACUAGAGGACCUGGGGAAACACUACCCUGACCUACCAGGUAAGAGCAAGACACCCACCUCACCUCCAUAAAGGAGUCAGGCGUGCAGCAUGACUCCUGUUCCCACUUCAGCCCUUGUACAGCACCUGUGGGACUGUCCUCUGAUCCCACUGUGCUCCUUCAGGGCUGCUUAUGGCUGUGGGCAGCGAGUGCAUUCAGGCAGCAGGAUCCCUCCUAGUUAAGAGUGACAGCAGGGACCUGCUGCCCUCCCACCCCACACCAGGCAGAGGCCUACCCAGCUUGUCCCCUGGCAAAGAGGGCCAUUUCCGUGGAACAAACAGGGAGGGAAGGACAUCAGGAGAGAUUGGGAAACUCUCAAGUGUCUCUCCCAGGCUGUAGUCCCACAGGUUGGCAGUGCCUUGCUCAACAUGUAAUGGGCAACUGACCAACACAGCAGGAAAACACAACUCUGAAAGGGCUUGGUUACUCCACAGAUCAUCUGCAACAGCCCUUAGGAAAGACCCAGAGGAGGAAGGGCUCCUUACAGAGGAGGGCUCAGCCCCACACCAGCUCCCGAGCCAGGAACAGAAUCACCUUACAGAGCAGGAGGAGCUUAGAACUCAAGAACACCCCUAAAUGAGGAACAGACCCAUUACUGGUCACACAGGCAAGCACAGCCACCACCAGGGUCCAACCACCUGCCCAGGCACUUAUUCCCAGCACAGCAAGAGUCCCCUGCUACUGAGCCCCUCUUCCUGGGAUCCCCUGCUCCUCCCAGAGGUUCACACUACCACAUCCCAAGCUGCACCCUGACAAACCAGGCAAACCCAGCACCACAGCCAGGCACAAGCAGCAUCCUCCUGCUUCAAGGUGGUCUCAUGUUCCCAUGGCAUGGCCUGCACUCCCCAGUGACAAGAACCUGCAUCUCCUUUCAACCCACCUGCACAGCAGCAGGCAGAGGAACAUGCACCCACCUGUAUCAUUGGAUGGGUCUGCUUCCCACUCCAUCACCAGUCUGAAAUGGCCCUGCAGGGGCCAUCACUACAAUCACCAGGAAAAGCUGCUACAGAGACAGCCAGUCCCCACAAAUGCAGAAGCAGUGCUUUUGCCAAGAUGGGUCAAAGGCAGAACACACCUGAUGCGGCUGCUCUGCUGGCUCUCCUUAACAGCUUCUCCAGCCAGACCAGCACAACACCCCCACAUCAACAUCAGUCUAAUACUUACUUCUUAAAGGGACUUAAACAACUUUGGAGUGGUUCCUCCCUGCACACACAGGACAGCUCAGCACAUGGAGCACUUGGGCGUUUCAUCUCUGGCAUCUUUUCCCUUGGCUGUCUCUCAGGAGAACACAAGACUCCCCUGAUACAGCCAGGCACAGCUCAGGACAUCACCUACCAAGAACUUGAGAUAGUAGCAUUUAGAAGGGGCAGGACUUUCAAACACCAGCCUCCAGUAUCUGCUAAAAGCAACUGCUGCCAGCAUUUACCAUCAAGACCUGGAUUUCCUCAUAGAUCCCAGCAAGGGGCUGAGAACUUGUCCAUUGUUCAAGAGUCAGAGAUUAAAAGGUUAAAAUACUCAUUCUGCCAAGAAAAUGCAUCAAUUAAGCCUCUGAAAGUGUCCUGGUUUCACUGCUGUGCCACUAAAACUCCACCUGAAGCCUCAAAAUUCCCUUUUACACCAAAGUUAAAAAGAGGGUGUCCUGCUGGAGGCCAGUCUUUGGGCAGCAAUCACAAGGCUGUCCUGCCAAGGUGACUGUAAGAGGAAAGCAGCUCCACACUUCACCUGAUGCCAGUGACCUUGAGAACAUUGCAUAACCUGCUAAAGCUUUGAAGUCAGAUCAGCCAACUGUAUCCAAGUCCCACAGCCAGACAGGUCACACUCUCUUAGCUCUGAGGUCAGGACAGGUAUUCAGGAAGAGGAUAUCUAUAGAGAAGUAAUUUGUUACUGAAAAUACUGUAGAACACAUGUUGGCUUACCUCUCUCCAGCCUCUCCUCUGCCUAGAGGGCAGCAAACGUCUGAAUCUCUUUCUGUCAAGUCAUGCAGGCACAAUCCUUGCUAGGCUGCACAGCCUGUUUCCAAGUUGUGCCUUGUCCUUUAAGUAGCUGGUAAUGUUAACAUUUUGGUAGCUUAAUUUUAGCUUGAGAAUUAAAUAAAGAACAUGCACAAGUGAUAGGUCCAAAUAAAUCCUUUUAUUUCUCUGUAAUAAAUACAGCACUAUCUGAAUUCUGAAGACCCUUGGGUCCAAUAAUUCCUUUCCUACUAGUUCAGAGGUGAAUUA